rnacentral:rRNA from 1 species
GAUUAAACAAUUAAGUGCAUAUGGCGGAUGCCUCGACAUGGAAAGCCGAUGAAGGACGUAGCAGCCUGCGAAAAGCCUCGGAUAGGUGGCAAGCAACCUUUGACCCGGGGAUUUCCGAAUGGGGAAACCCAGUCUCGUAAAGCGAGACUAUCAUAUACUGAAUUCAUAGGUAUAUGAGGUGAACCUGGGGAAUUGAAACAUCUUAGUACCCAGAGGAAAAGAAAAAAUUUCCCGCCGUUGGCGGGACCAUUCCCAGAGUAGUGGCGAGCGAAAUGGGAAGAGCCUAAACCUAGUUAGUGUUGCGUUUAAGGAAACUUGUUUUUUAACUCGUGGAAUUAGGCGCUUAAAGGUGUAAGCCGUUGCUGAUUAGGCGUAGUAAGGUAGUAACGUUAGAUUUCUUACAAAAUCUAGACAAAGAUAAUUAUUAUAACUUCCGUAGCAGAAUCCUUUGGAAAAAGGAGCCGUAGAGGGUGAUAGCCCCGUAUCGCGAAACGGGUUAUAACUUUGUGGUUACUAACCUUGAGUAGCACAGGCCCCGUGAAAUCCUGUGUGAAUCAUCCAUGACUAUGUGGAAAGGCUAAAUACUCCUCCAUGAUCGAUAGUGAACAAGUACCGUGAGGGAAAGGUGAAAAGCAUCCCUGUUAGGGAGAUGAAAUAGUAUCUGAAACCAUAUGCUUACAAAGAGUCAACGCCGUUGCUUCGCAACGGGAAACUCAAAAUUCUAAAUUCUAAAUCCUAAACAAAUCCAAAUGUUUUAAAUUCAAAAUUCAAAAUAAGUUUUAAAAUUUGAAUUUUGGUUUUUAAAAAUUGUUUAGAAUUUCGGAUUUUGGAUUUGGGAUUUCCGCUGCGGAGCAGCGGUUAUGGCGUGCCUAUUGAAGAAUGAGCCAACGAGUUAUUGUAUGUUGUGCGUUUAAGUCCGUAAAGGACGAAGGCAAAGUGAAAGCGAGGGUUAAUAGCCCGUUUAAGUUAAUUAGUUACUAGCUGUCUCUUGGCUAUUGGCUAAUUAACUUUUGACAGCAUGCAAUAGACCCGAAGCCGGGUGAGCUAGCCAUGGCCAGGGUGAAACCAGUGUAACAGCUGGUGGAAGCCCGAACCCUAGUGCCGUGCAAAACACAGGGAUGAGCUGUGGCUAGAGGUGAAAUGCUAAUCGAACUCGGCAAUAGCUGGUUCUCCCCGAAAUAGCUUUAGGGCUAGCCUCUUCGAAUUUUCUUGGGGGUAGAGCACUGAAUGGGGACAGGGGGUAACCUACUGUUCCUAAUCAAACUCCGAAUACCAAGAAACCUCGCGAAGAGAGUCAGACUAUGGGGGCUAAGCUCCAUCAGUCUAAAGGGAAACAGCCCAGACCGCCAUUUAAGGUCCCUAAAUCCAGAUUAAGUGUAAAAGGUGGUGGGACGACUUUUACAACCAGGAGGUUGGCUUAGAAGCAGCCAUCCUUUAAAGAAAGCGUAACAGCUCACUGGUCAAGUUGUCUUGCGCCGAAAAUGUAUCGGGGCUAAAUCUGGUACCGAAAAUGCGGCUCCUCGCUUUUUAGCGAGGGGGGUAGGGGAGCAUUCCAUAACCGUUGAAGCAGUUUUGUGAGAAAUUGUGGAGGUUAUGGAAGAGAGAAUGUUGGCAUGAGUAACAAAAAUACAGGUGAAAACCCUGUACACCGUAAGUCUAAGGUUUCCUGGGCAACGCAAAUCGACCCAGGGUUAGUCGGUCCUAAGGCGAGGCCGAAAGGCGUAGUCGAUGGACGAGCUGGUUAAUAUUCCAGCACUACUAUUGGUUUUCGAUGGGAUGACGCAGUUUAUGAGAUUAAGCGUUUUUUGGCUACAGGCGUUGCUAGUAAUUGAGUGAUAUUUGUCAAAUGCAAUUAUCAUCAGCUCAAGAUCUGGCAAAAGGCAAAGCAUUAGCCGAGCCAAUUUAAUCAAUUAAGCUGCCUAGAAAAGUCUCUAGAGCUAAGCUGAUAGUAACCGUACCGUAAACCGACACAGGUAGACGGGCAUAAGUGUGCCAAGGUGUACGAGAGAAUCCUCGUUUAGGAACUCGGCAAAACAGCGGCCGUAACUUUGGGAUAAGGCCUUCCCGCCUUUGGCGGGACGCAGCUAAAGACGCCAAGCGACUGUUUACCAAAAACACAGGUCCCUGCGAAAGCGCAAGCUUAUGUAUAGGGGCUGAUGCCUGGCCAGUGUCCGAACGUUAAGGGGAGGGGUGCAAGCUCUGAACCGAAGCGCGGAUGAACGCCGGCCGUAACUAUAACGGUCCUAAGGUAGCGAAAUUCCUUGUCGGGUGAGUUCCGACCUGCACGAAUGGCAUAACGACUUGGCGACUGUCUCAACGAGGAACUCGGUGAAAUUGCAAGACGAGUAAAGAUGCUCGUUACCCGUGGCUGGACGAAAAGACCCCGUGAAGCUUUACUACAACUUGAUAUUGGAUUAAGGUUAAACAUGUUCAGCAUAGGUGGGAGCCUUGGCAACAAUGAGAUACCACCCUUGCUUAAUUUUAAUUCUAAUCUGCGUCCGUGAAUCCGGAUGCGGAGACAGUAUCUGGUGGGUAGUUUAACUGGGGCGGUUGCCUCCCAAACAGUAACGGAGGCGUUCACAAAGGUCAGCUAGGUUCCGAUGGAAACGGAACUGAUAGUGUAUAGGCAAAAGCUGGCUUUACUGCAAUUCCUACAAGAAGAGCAGUUGCGAAAGCAGGACUAAGUGAUCCGACCGUGCGAUAUAGGACGGCGGAAGCUCAACGGAUAAAAGCUACUCCGGGGAUAACAGGCUAGUCUGGUCCAAGCGUCCACAGCGACGACCAGGUUCGGCACCUCGAUGUCGGCUCGUCGCAUCCUGGAGCUGUAGAAGGUUCCAAGGGUUUGGCUGUUCGCCAAUUAAAGCGGCACGCGAGCUGGGUUCAGAACGUCGUGAGACAGUUCGGUCUCCUAUCCGCCACGGGCGUUGAAACUUGAGAGGGCGCUUCCCUAGUACGAGAGGACCGGGAAGCACGGACCUCUAGUGUACCAGCUGUUCUGCCAAGGGCAUUGCUGGGUAGCUACGUUCGGUUUGGAUAAACGCUGAAAGCAUCUAAGCGUGAAGCUGUCCUCAAGAUUAGGUUUCUUAGGAUCCUGGGAGAUGACCAGGUUGAUAGGCGCUAAGUAUAAGACCAGUAAUGGUUUUAGCUGAGGCGUACUAAUAUUCCAUUUGUUUAAUCAC